UACGUAGGGUGCAAGCGUUAUCCGGAUUUAUUGGGCGUAAAGGGCUCGUAGGCGGUUCGUCGCGUCCGGUGUGAAGGUCCAUCGCUUAACGGUGGAUCCGCGCCGGGUACGGGCGGGCUUGAGUGCGGUAGGGGAGACUGGAAUUCCCGGUGUAACGGUGGAAUGUGUAGAUAUCGGGAAGAACACCAAUGGCGAAGGCAGGUCUCUGGGCCGUUACUGACGCUGAGGAGCGAAAGCGUGGGGAGCGAACAGG
rnacentral:rRNA from 1 species